GAUUAAUUUGGUUUUGGUUAAAUGAAGGAAUGGUAUUGAAACUAACAUAAAAUAUUUGUAUCAAUUUCUAACUUCUAAAAAGAGGUUAUAAUUUAGUAGUGGAUUUUUAUUAAUAAAGAUGGGAGUCUGUUUAAGUCAAUACAUUAAAGGGGUUAAUAAUAGGUGCCAGCAACUGCGGUUAUACCUAUUCUUAUCUUCAUUUUUGGGUUAAAUAUAAAUUAUGAAAUUUAAAAGAAAAAUUUUUAUAUCAGUUAAAUGGGGAUUAAAAAACGAUCCAAAAUUUAAAUAAAUAAAUUAUGAAAACUGUCGUCAAAAACCAAGAUUAGGUACCUUGCUAUUGGUAGUAGUAAAUAAGAAUACCCAGAGGAGUAAAAAUUCGAAACUCAAAAGACCUGGCGGUGGAUGGACUUCCUGCCAGAGGAGCGUGCUGAGUAAUAGAUAGUCCGCUAAUUAAUAAACCCUUAUUUUUAACGUCAGUGUACGGCCGCUUUCAGACAAUUUCUAUAGAAUUUAAAAAUUGUCUAUACCCGCUUAUAGCCAACUAAUUAAGACAGGUCAAUGUGCUGCUGAUAUAAGGGGUUGAUGGUGCGCUAUUUAGACAUAGGAUAAAGGAUGGGGACAUGUAAUAGUUCCUUGAAUUCAGAUUUGGGAGUAACGUAGUAAAUAAUAUGUAUUCGUGAAAUUAGGUAAAGCUCUGUGUACACAUCGCCCGUCAUUCUUUUUGAAAAAAAAGAGAAGUCGUAACAUGGUAGCCUCAAUAGAAAUUGAGGCUUAAGAGAU
rnacentral:ncRNA from 1 species